rnacentral:sRNA from 2 species
GAUGUCUUCAUCGUCGAUAUCGACGGUAUCCAAGCUCAUGGGGUGGGAGCUGCAGAUAUUACGAAACUGAAAGCAAAUGGAUUUUAUACUGUUGCUGUACGGGAUUAGUUUCCAAACCUCAUUCACUAUUCUCCUUCCUUACCUUUUAAUUAAUGAUGGCAGUCCCACUACUCUCAUUUUACGUGUCUUAGUCGUAUUUGAAAUUAGUAAAAGACUAACAUUCGUGGCAAUGGAAAUGGGGAUGAUCGGAUAUAUUCUAGUCUGUUCAUGGAGCCACGAGAA